rnacentral:rRNA from 1 species
GAGUUUGAUCCUGGCUCAGGAUGAACGCUGGCGGCGUGCCUAAUACAUGCAAGUCGAGCGAACAGAUAAGGAGCUUGCUCCUUUGACGUUAGCGGCGGACGGGUGAGUAACACGUGGGUAACCUACCUAUAAGACUGGAAUAACUCCGGGAAACCGGGGCUAAUGCCGGAUAAUAUUUAGAACCGCAUGGUUCUAAAGUGAAAGAUGGUUUUACUAUCACUUAUAGAUGGACCCGCGCCGUAUUAGCUAGUUGGUGGGGUAAUGGCUUACCAAGGCAACGAUACGUAGCCGACCUGAGAGGGUGAUCGGCCACACUGGAACUGAGACACGGUCCAGACUCCUACGGGAGGCAGCAGUAGGGAAUCUUCCGCAAUGGGCGAAAGCCUGACGGAGCAACGCCGCGUGAGUGAUGAAGGUCUUCGGAUCGUAAAACUCUGUUAUUAGGGAAGAACAAAUGUGUAAGUAACUGUGCACGUCUUGACGGUACCUAAUCAGAAAGCCACGGCUAACUACGUGCCAGCA